UACGUAGGUGGCAAGCGUUGUCCGGAUUUACUAGGCGUAAAGAGCGCGCAGGCGGUCGUAUAAGUCGAAUGUGAAAGCCCCCGGCUCAACUGGGGAGGGUCAUUCGAUACUGUUCGACUCGAAGGCAGGAGAGGGAAGUGGAAUUCCGGGUGUAGUGGUGAAAUGCGUAGAUAUCCGGAGGAACACCAGUGGCGAAGGCGACUUUCUGGCCUGUUCUUGACGCUGAGGCGCGAAAGCUAGGGGAGCAAACGGG
rnacentral:rRNA from 1 species